rnacentral:rRNA from 1 species
AUUGAACGCUGGCGGCAGGCCUAACACAUGCAAGUCGAACGAGUGGCGGACGGGUGAGUAAUGUCUGGGAAACAGCCUGAUGGAGGGGGAUAACUACUGGAAACGGUAGCUAAUACCGCAUACCAUCGGAGGUGCCCAGAUGGGAUUGGCUAGUGGGUGGGGUAAGGGCUCACCUAGGCGACGAGCCCUAGCUGGUCUGAGAGGAUGACAAGCCACACUGGAACUGCGGCACGGUCCAGCGUCCUACGGGAGGCAGCAGUGGGGAAUAUUGCACAAUGGGCGCAAGCCUGAUACAGCGAUGCCGCGUGUAUGAAGAAGGCCUUCGGGUUGUAAAGUACUUUCAGCGGGGAGGCGUUACCCGCAGAAGAAGCACCGGCUAACUCCGUGCCAGCCGCCGCGGUAAUAC